AGACGCACAUGUGUUAAUUUACAGAGUUUACAGUAUUGUUAACCGGUUGCUUGAUCCUUUAAAUGUGUUUGUGUAAUUUUGUGAGUGUUGUGUUGGUGUGUGGCCUUGUGAAAUAAGUGUGUAAAGUGUUUGUGUUGUGUAACAAAUGGAUACCAUUCAGAGUCCACAUGUUUGAGUCACCCGAUGUCGUGCUGCCUGGAUACCCUCGGUUCUUCACAGCAGCCACAGCCGAGGAACAACACCACGUAGGUCAACAGCCGCUGAGGCGAUGUGGCACUACAUGACGUACUGGCACCUGUACACGACCCUGUGGUGGCACUGAAUGAUAUGUCUUGAUGAUAUGUCUGAAUGAUUAAUUAAACAAAUUUAUUUAUUUCAUACUAA